UUAGUCUUCUUUUUUUUUCAGUUGGUUCUUGUGCUUCAGUUAGACUUACUUGGGUUUCAGUUGGUCUUUAUUUUUUUCAGGUAGUCUUCAUUUUUUUUCAGUUAGUCUUCAUUUUUUUUCAGUUAGUCUUCUUUUUUGUCGGUUAGUCUUACUUUUUUUUCAGUUAGUCUUAAGUUUUUUUCAGUUAGUCUUAAGUUUUUUUCAGUUAGUCUUACUUUUUUUUCAGUAAGUCUUCAUUUUUUUUCAGUUAGUCUUCAUUCUUUUUUAGUUAGUCUUCAUUUUUUUUCAGUUGGAUGUCUUCUAAGUUCAGUUACUUGCCAUACCAAGUAUUUUUCUCUCUCCACUUUCUCUAUCUUCUUCGCCUCUUUCUCAGUCUCUAUCUUCUCUUACUAACUCUAUCUCUCCUCCAUUUAACAAAAAGUACACAUGUCUUAAGUUCAGUUAGUCUUUCCAGUGAUUCAAGAAUGUGUUGGAAUAUAGACCUAACCUUAUCAGUAUCAGGGUGUGUAGCAGGAAGCGAGUUGUGUUUGGAGUCCAGCCAACUGGAGCUUUACAUCUUGGGAAUUAUCUCGGCGCCAUUAAAAAUUGGAUUUCUCUUCAGGUUGCUUUUCAUCAAUCAUACCAGAAGAAGAUGAAGGAGCAGCGGCGCGGCGACGGCGGAGGAAGAAGAUGAAGGAGCAGAGUCGUCAUUUUCGCGGCUUCGUCCGACGGAACAUAUUGGGUCAGAUGGUCUGACCCAAUAGUUUCACAUUAUACAAUAUUAAUAUUUUUUGAAAAAUACAAAUUGAAAUAAAUCCAAUAUUUCACAUACUAACGUAUGAUUUAUUUGUUAUUCGAAAGACAUAGUCAUCUUAUCGAAAAAAAGAAGCAUAAUCAUGAAUCAUGAUAUGCAUUGAGUGGGUUCAUUGAUAAACCUUCUAGUCCCAAAGUACAAGAUCAUAUUUCCUAUCUUUGAUUAUGAAAUUGAAUAACUGACUGCAAUAGAAGCCAGGUUACAGCCAUUGAUCGUAAAGCAAUCAGCACUAAAAUCAUUUUAAGGGUUAAUUUUUUUACUAUUAGGAGAAAUAUCCGACUCUUUGACAGCAAGAGGUUCAUACCAUUCAGGGAGAAAGCCAGCAGCUCUCCUUGCUUCUACAUUGAAAGGAGGUUUCAAGGGCCCCCUGAAAUAAGUUCUAACUGUUGCGUGAAAUUUCUGAAUGACUUCGACAUCAACCUGUACUUGCUUAUUUCUGCUCUCAUCAGUUUGAGCAAGAUCUGUAGAUCUCAAGCAAAGAUAAUUGAACCAUUUAACCCCAGCAGCACAAUGAGUGAUCUCUUCGGGAUAAAUCACUGUUUCAAGUAAAUCUGCUGUUUUAUGAUCACCACCAGCACGGAAACGAGCAACUGUUGUUGGCAUCACAUCAAGUCCUCUGGCCUGUCGACAAUGAAGGAUAAACAACAUUCAGCAGAGAGACAAUUGAACAAAUAUCACAUAGCAUAGCAGUCAGAGAAUGAAAACUUACAUGACAUAGAAAUUUGAAUAUGCUAAGAUGAUUACAUUUGUCAUGAUAUGAUAAACAGAAGUGUCGUAUCUCAUGUGCUUUCUCAAUAGUUGAAUCGUGAAGCAUGCUAAACUCAAAUGAAAAUGAUGAAAAUACUACGUCUUUACAUUUUUUAUUACCUAAAUGUUCAUUUUGUUAAGGAGAGUUAAGCCAUUAAAUCUCAAACUAAACCCUUGCAAUUGUUUAUGCAUCAGGUUUGUAACACCAAUGUCACCAUUAUUCGCUAGUAGAAUUUCGUUAACCCCAGCAUAUCUUGGUUACUCCUCCUCAAUGCAGUAAAGCAAGAAAUUCUCUAUUAUUCAGGCUGUUUAUUAUUGGUUCUUCUGUUUCUGAAUCCUCGUCCACUGUGCCCUUGGAUAGAUAAUAUGCACCAGUCAACCCAGACUUGCAAAGCAUAAUUAUAUUUACCUGACAAGGUUAUUUAAGCAAAACGAUGCUCUGUUGGACCAUAAUUGGGUAUUCCGCUCUCCUUGCAUUUGUCAAAGUAGCUGAUCUUUGAUGUUUUCUGGAAAGCUAGAGUUCAGGAUGGCAGCUAUAGCAGGAGUAGCGAGGAACGAAAGGGACUCUGAGCUUAAGGUUUUUGGCAAAUGGCUGUGUUGAAUCCUCAUGAUAAUGGAGGUGUAAGCCAUUGGACUUUUACUGGUCCAAGCAUCUCACAAGAGGACCCUUACCAUCUUUGCUUUGGAUAAACAGCAACCAGUGUAAUAAGAGAAGAAAUAUGUCAUUCUUCACUCUUUUUAUUCCUUUUAUGAUGUCACUAGUCCCACGAAGAUCAGCCUAGAAACUGCAGCCACUACUGCUUUGGAAUGAUUAAUAAUGUGCUGUACUAUUUUUGUCUUUUAGCUUAUUGCUCCUAGGUAGUUUUAGUAGUGCUACUAUAUUAAGCUGCUUGAUCGUUGCUCUCUAGGGUUCUCAUAAUCAAAAUAUCUGAAGACUACUUUCACCUCAUCAACUGUAUUUCUUCUCCUCUCUUCUGCAUUUGUUGUGUCAUUCAUUGUUGCAGGUGUAAACUGUUAUUGACUGAUUAUUCAGGGAAUCAAUCAGUUAUCAUGGUAUCAGAUCUGGGUGCUGUUAGCUGCAACUUAACAUUCACAUUCAAAGAUUUCUUCUUUGAGACCCUCAAAAAAACUCAUCUUUGAAUAUUAUUUCAGUCUCUCUUCUUUCUUAUCUAUCUGAUUCUUUCUUUUCCCUCUUGAUUCAUCAAAAUGUCAAGACUUUUUUCACAGAUAUGCAGCACUCUUUUUUUCUAGAUCCUUCAGAUAGUGCCGCCUCAAUCUCUGUGGAUAAACUGCAGGGAGCUGCAUUCUACAGGUCACGGAGAAGCAGUAUGGAGAUUAAUCUGUCUUCAAAGAGGAAACUGGGCUUUAUAACUGGCACUACAGUCAAAGACACCACAGAUAAGGUAAAAUCUGAACUUUGGGGCAUAUGCAAUAACAUGGUUGUAGGUUGGAUUCAUCAUAAUGUGUCACCGGCUAUAAAAAAGUCCAUAUUGUAUGUAAACAAUGCUAACAACAUCUGGAAACAAUUGGAAACAAGAUUUGCUCUCGCAAAUGGUUCUAGAAAAUACAAAACAAAAAUUUGUAUGAAACCAAACAAAAUCUGUCAUCUGUAAAUGACUAUUACACUGCAUUGACCAUGACUUGGGAUGAACUGGAAUGUAUGACCUUGAUGCCUGUGAUGUUAACCCUACUCCUGAAAUACAAGAGUCUAUCGAUGCUGUGAGCUCUCAAAUAUGGACCUCAAAAGAAGCCGAAUACUCAUGAUGAGUCCCCUACCAAGUGUAGAAACUGCUUGCUCUGUGUCGCAGCAGGAAGAGUCUGAAAGAGAAGUUCUAAAAUCUCAAAAACCGGAGAUAUAGAUUUCUGCUAUGGAUGGUAGAUAUCAAAAUGAAAGAUCAAUUUCUUGCAAAGCAUGUGGGAAGGUAGGACAUACUGUUAAUAAGUGCUGGACAAUUGUGGCACCACAAAAGGAACAAGUGGGAAUGGUUAAUCCCAAGUGGAACUACAGCAAGCCUAACUAUCCUGAAGUAGCUAUUAAUGUGUCACGGGAGGACUCAGGACUCCUACACACUCGGCAACAGUUAGAUCAAAUAGCAAGACCGAUCCCUGCUAUAUCAACUCAAAUGCAAAUCAGAGAACAUGAGGCAGAUAAAGAUAUCGAUGCUCAUUUAUCUGGCAUGAUUUCGUGUUUUCAGGCCUCAUGUGCAUCAAAUGAGUCUCAUGUGCAUCAAAUGAGUGGAUCAUUGAUUCAGGUGCUUCUGAUCACAUGAAUCCAUGUCUACAACACAUGAGGAAAGUCAUUGUGAUGAUGGAUUGUCCGCGCUCAAUAUGCCUACUAGAGCUACUGAUGCUAAGAUCACUCACAUGGGAAAAGUUGAUGUAUCACCUGAGUUGUAGUUGGAGAAGGUAUUGUGUGUGCCCAAUUUUCAAUAUAAUUUGCUAACUGUUUAGAAAUUGGAGAAAGAUAGCAAUUAUGAAAUAGAAUUCCUACCUGAAUAUUGGAUCAUUAGAGAUAGAACCACAAAAAGGGUGAAGAAGAUAGGACAGGCUAAAAAUGGUUUGUACUAUUUGUGUGCUCACAAUAAACCUAGCCAAAAACUCCUUCCACUCAAAAUAACACGCAAACUCAUUACCAACCUCACUCUCUCCUGUCCACAAAGAAACCUCCACAAAAUUCACCAAAACCCUCUGAGUCUGAACUCACCCAAAACCAAACCUCACCAGUUUGCUCUUUGGCAUCACAGAUUGGAACAACUCAUCUCCACCCACCGUCCUUUUGCUUCAUGACAACUCUCACUGAAAACGUAGGCCCUACCACUUUCAGGCAAGCAGAAGACAAUGAAACAUGGAUAGUGACACAUUGCCUCCUGGCAGGCUGUACAAAACAAAGUACAAUGCUAAUUGAACAGUAGAAAGGAGCAAGUCAAUGAUAGUGAUACUUGGAUGUAAUCAAAAAUAUGGAGAGGAUUACAUAGAGCUAUUUGCACUAGUUGCGAAAAUGUCAAUUGUAAGAGUUGUGCUUGCUGUUGCAGCUGGACAAGACUGGUACGCGACUCAAAUGAAUGUUACCAAUGCGUUUUUACAUGGAGCAUUAUGUGAGAAUGUGUACAUGAAGAUCCCACAGGUGGUAGCAGAAUGACACUAAAUGACGUUCCUCGAAAAUCAACUGGAAAUCUUGUGUACAAACUACAAAAAUUCCUCUAUGGAUUGAAACUGGCAUCAAGGCAAUGGUUCUCUAAAUUGUCACACUCUCAUGACAUUUGGUUUUGCAGAGUCAAAAGCAGAUUACAACUUCUUCACAAAACAACAUCACUGAGGUGUUGUUGAUCUAUGUUGAUGACUUGCUGAUCUUAAAAAAUAGCAAGCACAACAUAAACACACUUAAGCAAAUGCUCAGUGACACUUUUCAGAUGAAGGAUGUAGGUGAACUAAGAUGCUUCCUAGGGUGGAGAUAGACACGUUCAGAGUUGGUUUCUUUGUGUCACAAAAGAAGUACACCUUAGACUUGCUAAAGGAAUAUGGGUUAAUUGGUGCUAAGCCUCUACAACUUCCCAUGGAUCUUAAUCUCAAACUGACAACUGAAAAAAAGGUGAGCCCAUUCCCUCACCAACUACUUAUUAGAGGCACUUAGGCAAAGUUAUAGUACAAUAAUAAGACCAGACAUAGCAUUCACAGUUUAGUUGCUAAGCCAACAUAUGCACAUGGCUACAAAUGUCCAUAUGCAGGCUGCUAGAGACUUCUAAGGUACUUACUCGGAUCCUAUUCCCAAAGAAUUGUGCUAGCCUCAUCAUCAGGGGCCACACUUACAGCAUACUAGUUGUCCUAUGUCAAGAAUAUCCAUUUCAGGGUAUUGCAUUCUUAUUCUUUUAGGACAAUGCUGACAAUUCCCAAUAUCUUGGAAGGUCAAGAAGCAAACUAUGGUAGCAAGAUCAUCAGCCUAGGCUGAAUACAGAUCAAUAGUAAUUACCACAAGUGAAGUCACUUGGCUCACUACUUUACUGAAAGACUUGGGUCUUAAGGAUUUGCCACCAGCAACUCUAAAAUGUGACAAUCAAGCUGCAUUAGCAAUUACAGCUAAUCCGUUUCUACACGAGAGGUCCAAGCACCUGGAAAGCACUUCAGAGAUAAGCUACAAUAUGGUGAAAUAGCUACUGAAUAUGUUCCAUCAACAGAUCAAGUGGUGAUAUUCUCACAAAGAUCCUAAUAGUGACUCAACACCAACAUCUACUGGCCAAGCUUGAGGGGGCGUAAGAAGAGAAGAAAUAUGUAAUUUCUUCUUGUUACUCUUUUUAUUCCUUUUAGGAUGUCACUACUCAGGAAGAUCAGCCUAGAAACUGCAGGUCUGCAGCUAUUACUCCUUUAGACUGAUUAAUUAUGUGCUGUACUAUUUUUGUCUUUUAGCUUAUUGCUUCUAGCUAGUUUGUCUAGUAGUGCUACUAAUUAAGCUGCUUGUAAUCGUUACUCUCUACUCUCUAGGGCCCUCAUAAUCAAAAAGUCUGGAGACUACUUUCACCUCCGCA